AGAGGAAGUAAAACUUUCCCAUUUGGAUACAGAAAGAUGUUUUUGGUUUAACAUAUUCUUGUAUUAAUUCCAUACAUUUGUUGUGCUACUUAGGUUUUUUGUCAACUUGACAUACACUAGAGUCACAUGGGAAGAGAGGUCCUUAACAGAGAAAAAUGUCUCCAUCAGUUUGGCCUAUAGGCAUGUCUGUAGGACAUCUUCUUGACUGAUUGAUGUGGAAGAGCCCCAGCCCACUGUGGGCAAUAUCACCCCUGGGAGGUGGUCUGGGAGUACAAGAAAGCAGGCUGAGCAAGAUAUGAGGAGCAAGCCAGUAGCAGCACCCCUCCACGCCUCUGCUUCAGCUCCUGCCUCCAGGUUCCUGCCCUGACUUCUCUCAGUGAUGAGCUGAGAUCAGGACAUGUGAGCCAAAUACACCCUUUCCUAACCAGGUGUGUUCGUCCCAUGUCCAUCCAUCCGUUCCAUCCCGUGUCCUCCCCUCCCAGCCUUGUCUCAGAUCAGCAUGACUACCUGUCUGAUGGGUUUCCUCGGGGCAAGACACCCGUGGAAACAGACUCUCACUUGGCAAGGACCAGUAGUCCACUGGACAGUGUAGGAAUCUGUUAAAUUCAUGUAGCUUGCGGGCUCUUUCAUCUCUCGUUAUAUUGUUACUUAGGUGGUUUUUAGUUUUAUUUUAUCAGUCACAUGUACAACAAGCUGCA